GACGAACGCUGGCGGCGUGCUUAACACAUGCAAGUCGAGCGGUAAGGCCCUUUCGGGGGUACGACGAGCGGCGAACGGGUGAGUAACACGUGGGUGACCUGCCCUCAGCUCUGGGAUAAGCCUGGGAAACCGGGUCUAAUACUGGAUAUGACUCCAUGACGCAUGUUGUGGGGUGGAAAGCCUUGUGCGGCUGAGGAUGGGCCCGCGGCCUAUCAGCUUGUUGGUGGGGUGAGGCCUACCAAGGCGACGACGGGUAGCCGGCCUGAGAGGGCGACCGGCCACACUGGGACUGAGACACGGCCCAGACUCCUACGGGAGGCAGCAGUGGGGAAUCUUGCGCAAUGGGCGAAAGCCUGACGCAGCGACGCCGCGUGAGGGAUGACGGCCUCGGUGUAAC
rnacentral:rRNA from 1 species